UACGGAGGGGGCUAGCGUUGUUCGGAAUCACUGGGCGUAAAGCGUGCGUAGGCGGCUAUUCAAGUCAGAGGUGAAAGCCUGGGGCUCAACCCCAGAAUUGCCUUUGAAACUAGGUAGCUCGAACACGGGAGAGGUGAGUGGAAUUCCGAGUGUAGAGGUGAAAUUCGUAGAUAUUCGGAAGAACACCAGUGGCGAAGGCGGCUCACUGGACCGUUGUUGACGCUGAGGCACGAAAGCGUGGGGAGCAAACAGG
rnacentral:rRNA from 1 species